rnacentral:rRNA from 1 species
GGCGAACGCUGGCGGCGUGCCUAACACAUGCAAGUCGAACGGAGCAGAUCCCUUCGGGGGUUUGCUCAGUGGCGAACGGGUGAGUAACGCGUGAGGAACCUGCCUGUAACAGGGGGAUAACCCGGAGAAAUCCGGACUAAUACCCCAUAAUAUGGGCGCUCCGCAUGGAGGGCUCAUUAAAGAAAGCAAUUUUGGUUACAGACGAGCAUGCGCUCCAUUAGCCAGUUGGCGGGGUAACGGCCCACCAAAGCGACAAUGGAUAGGGGUUCUGAGAGGAAGGUCCCCCACAUUGGGACUGAGACACGGUCCAA